rnacentral:rRNA from 1 species
AGCUUUUUGUUUUUUUUAAUUAAAAGUAUUUUCUGCUCAGUGUUUUUAAAUAGCUGCGGUAAUUUGACCGUGCAAAGGUAGCAUAAUCAUUUGUUUCAUAAUUGGGGGCUAGUAUGAAUGGAAUUAUGAAAAUUUUUCUUUCUUUUUAUUUUUUUUUUAAAUUGUAGUUAAUGUGAAGAUACAUUAUUUUUUAUAAAAGACAAGAAGACCCUUUUGAGCUUUAUUUUUUUUUAUUUUUUUAUUUAUAUUAUUAUUUAGUUGGGGCGAUUAAAGAAGAGGGGUAAAUGAUCUUCUUUUUUUUUUAUUUUGAGCCAAAGUUUUUUGGUUUUUAGAAUUAGUUACCAAAGGGAUAACAGCGUAAUUUUUUUUAAGAGUUCUAAUUAAAAAAAAAGAUUGCGACCUCGAUGUUGACUUAUAAUUUCCUUUUGGUGCAGUAGCUUAUAGGGUUGGUCUGUUCGACCUUUAAUAUUUU